rnacentral:sRNA from 1 species
UACCCAUGCGGGGAAGGAUGAGAAGCUUCGACUAAGGUUCGAUUCGAGCGAAAGCGAGAAAGCGUUGCCGCAGGCAACGACCCGAAGGGCGAAGCGCGCAGCGCUGAGUCAUCCUUCCCCCACCACCA